rnacentral:rRNA from 1 species
UACGUAGGGUGCAAGCGUUAAUCGGAAUUACUGGGCGUAAAGCGUGCGCAGGCGGUUGUGCAAGACAGAUGUGAAAUCCCCGGGCUUAACCUGGGAAUUGCAUUUGUGACUGCACGGCUAGAGUGUGUCAGAGGGGGGUAGAAUUCCACGUGUAGCAGUGAAAUGCGUAGAUAUGCGGAGGAACACCGAUGGCGAAGGCAAUCCCCUGGGCCUGUACUGACGCUCAUGCACGAAAGCGUGGGGAGCAAACAGG